GACGAACGCUGGCGGCGUGCUUAACACAUGCAAGUCGAACGGUAAGGCCCUUCGGGGUACACGAGUGGCGAACGGGUGAGUAACACGUGGGUGAUCUGCCCUGCACUUCGGGAUAAGCCUGGGAAACUGGGUCUAAUACCGGAUAGGACUCCUGGCUUCAUGGUUGGGGGUGUAAAGCUUUUGCGGUGUGGGAUGGGCCCGCGGCCUAUCAGCUUGUUGGUGGGGUAAUGGCCUACCAAGGCGACGACGGGUAGCCGGCCUGAGAGGGUGACCGGCCACACUGGGACUGAGAUACGGCCCAGACUCCUACGGGAGGCAGCAGUGGGGAAUAUUGCACAAUGGGCGCAAGCCUGAUGCAGCGACGCCGCGUGAGGGAUGACGGCCUUCGGGUUGUUAAACCUCUUUCAAUAGGACGAAGCGCAAGUGACGGUACCUAUAGAAGAAGG
rnacentral:rRNA from 1 species